UACCAGCACCCCGAGUGGUCGGGACAAUUAUUGGGCCUAAAGCAUCCGUAGCCGGCCUUACAAGUCCUCCGUUAAAUCCAGCUGCUUAACAGAUGGGCUGCGGAGGAUACUAUAAGACUAGGAGGCAGGAGAGGCAAGCGGUACUCAGUGGGUAGGGGUAAAAUCCGUUGAUCCAUUGAAGACCACCAGUGGCGAAGGCGGCUUGCCAGAAUGCGCUCGACGGUGAGGGAUGAAAGCUGGGGGAGCAAACGG
rnacentral:rRNA from 1 species